rnacentral:lncRNA from 1 species
CUUUAUUCCAGUAUUAUAAUAAUCCUCACUCUAUAAUCAUAACCUAGGAAAAAAAAGGCCAUACAGAGAUAGGAGCUGAGGGGACAUAGUGAGGAGUGUGACCAGAAGACAAGAGUGCGAGGCUUCUGUUAUGCCCAGACAGGGCCACCAGAGGGCUCCUUGGUCUAGCGGUAACGCCAUCGUCUGGGAAGAUGCCCGUUGCCAGGCGGACCGUGGUCUAGCGGUAGCCUCAGUGUCAAGGAAAAACACCGGCUACUUAGCAGACCGGGAAUGGGAGUCUCCCUUUCCCCGCGGGGUGGGGGCGGUUUAGAGAAGACUCUACUCCUCCACUUCUUGUGGAGCCUAACAUUAGUCAGGCUCGCCCACAGUUAUCCGGAGGCCUAACCAACUCCCUGUGAUGCUGUGCUUCAGUGGUCACGCUCCUAGUCCGCCUUCAUGUUCCAUCCUGUACACCUGGCUCUGCCUUCUAGAUAGCAGUAGCAAAAUUAGUGAAAGUACUAAAAGUCUCUAAUAAGCAGAAAUAAUGGCGUAAGCUGUUUCUCUCUGUCUCCUCUCUCUCUCUGCCUUGGCUGCCAGGCAGGGAAGGGGCCCCUGUCCAGUGGACAUGUGACCCACGUGGCCUUACCUAUGAUUGGAGAUGGCUAACUCUCCUUAUCCUGCCCCUUUGUCUUAUAUCCAAUAAAUAUCAGUGCAGCCUGGCAUUUGGGGCCACUACCAGUCUCCGCGACUUGGUGGUAGUGGUCCCCCAGGCCCAGCUGCCUUUUCUUUUAUCUUUGUCUUGUGUCUUUAUUUCUACACACUCUCUUGUCUCCACACAUGGGGAGAGACCCACCAACCCUGUGGGGCUGGUCCCUACAGUUGUACUAACUGUAUCUUUUCAAAACGCUUUGGUUCUCCUCUAGCUUAGUUUUUAUAUGAGACCCCUUAUAUUAACUCUCUUUAACGUCUCAGAAUGGAAGUGUUAAAAAGUCCUGCUCUCAAUUUUCCAGAGAACAAAAAACACAUUUUUCA